rnacentral:rRNA from 1 species
GACGAACGCUGGCGGCGUGCUUAACACAUGCAGGUCGAACGGAAAGGCCCUGCUUUUGUGGGGUGCUCGAGUGGCGAACGGGUGAGUAACACGUGAGUAACCUGCCCUUGACUUUGGGAUAACUUCAGGAAACUGGGGCUAAUACCGGAUAGGAGCUCCUGCUGCAUGGUGGGGGUUGGAAAGUUUCGGCGGUUGGGGAUGGACUCGCGGCUUAUCAGCCUGUUGGUGGGGUAGUGGCUUACCAAGGCUUUGACGGGUAGCCGGCCUGAGAGGGUGACCGGCCACAUUGGGACUGAGAUACGGCCCAGACUCCUACGGGAGGCAGCAGUGGGGAAUAUUGCACAAUGGGCGGAAGCCUGAUGCAGCAACGCCGCGUGCGGGAUGACGGCCUUCGGGUUGUAAACCGCUUUCGCCUGGGACGAAGCGUGAGUGACGGUAAUGGGUAAAGAAGCACCGGCUAACUACG